UACGAAGGGUGCAAGCGUUACUCGGAAUUACUGGGCGUAAAGCGUGCGUAGGCGGCCAACUAAGUCAGACGUGAAAUCCCCAGGCUCAACCUGGGAACUGCGUCUGAUACUGGAUGGCUUGAAUCCGGGAGAGGGAUGCAGAAUUCCAGGUGUAGCGGUGAAAUGCGUAGAUAUCUGGAGGAAUACCGGUGGCGAAGGCGGCAUCCUGGACCGGCAUUGACGCUGAGGAGCGAAAGCCAGGGGAGCAAACGGG
rnacentral:rRNA from 1 species